CCAGCUCCAAUAGGAUAUAUCAAAGUUGUUGCAGUUAAAAAGCUCGUAGUUGAAUUCUGCCGGUCUUUUGUGCGUUUCCGCGCGGGUCAAACCGCCGAGGCAUUCGCGCCCGGCAUUUUGUGGAAGACGGCGCGUGCGUGGUUCGCUCCGCGUAUGCGUCCCACUCCGUUACUGAGAGCAAAUUGGAGUGCUCAAAGCAGGCCUUACGGCUUUGAACAUUUUAGCUUGGAAUAACAAAAAAGGACCUAGUUCUAUUUUGUUGGUUCACAGAAUCAGGUAAUGAUUAACAGGAACAGUUGCGGGGGUACUCGUAUUUCACAGUCAGAGGUGAAAUUCUUGGAUUUGUGGAAGACGAACGACUGCGAAAGCAUUUACCAAGGAUGUUUUCAUUAAUCAAGAACGAAAGUUUGGGGAUCGAAGAUGAUUAGAUACCAUCGUAGUCCAAACCAUAAACGAUGCCGACUCGGGAUUGGCGCUCGAUUUUUUAAACAUCUGCGCCAGCACCGUAUGAGAAAUCAAAGUCUUUGGGUUCCGGG
rnacentral:rRNA from 1 species